GCUCUUCUCUUGGCCUCCCAAGGUUUGGGAGCACCACACAUAAAUCUACGCUCUCUCAAAAUUUGAGUAAAUUUAUAUUUUCAAAAUUAAAAUUUUAAGUUAUGAAAGCAAAUGCAUGAAAGAAAUUUGAAAAAGAAAAGCCUAGCCUAAAAAGACUUCUCAACUAGUUUGUCUAUUUGAAAAUUAAUUUUGACAAGACAAGUCUAGCCU
rnacentral:lncRNA from 1 species